AUUAGAGGAGUCUGACAAUUAAAUAAGUGUAAUGACUGUCAUUCGAUCAACGUGCCACUCAGACCAUUGUAAUGACCACCAAAGAGCCAUCCAGACCACUGUAAUGUUCCCGUUCUUGAGACUUAAUAUCUUCUUUGCUGGCAAAAUUAUUUUGCAAGAACACUGUUGUCAGCUUCUUUCCUCAAAUUUAAUAUGAGCUCAUAAGUUGCCUCACACUUACUCAUUUUGGUAUCAGGUUUGACUUGAUUUGCUUACUGACACAGAAAAUGCGAAGAGGUGUCCAUAAUAUAUAUUAUAUUACCAAUCUCAUUGCAUUAGCUAGAAGUACCUGUCUAUA